CCUACGGGAGGCAGCAGUGAGGAAUAUUGGUCAAUGGACGCAAGUCUGAACCAGCCAUGCCGCGUGCAGGAAGACGGCUCUAUGAGUUGUAAACUGCUUUUGUACGAGGGUAAACGCAGAUACGCGUAUCUGUCUGAAAGUAUCGUACGAAUAAGGAUCGGCUAACUCCGUGCCAGCAGCCGCGGUAAUACGGAGGAUUCAAGCGUUAUCCGGAUUUAUUGGGUUUAAAGGGUGCGUAGGCGGUCGGAUAAGUUAGAGGUGAAAUCCCGAGGCUCAACUUCGGAAUUGCCUUUGAUACUGGUAGGCUAGAGAGUAGUAGCGGUAGGCGGAAUGCAUGGUGUAGCGGUGAAAUGCUUAGAGAUCAUACAGAACACCGAUUGCGAAGGCAGCUUACCAGGCUACUACUGACGUUGAGGCACGAAAGCGUGGGGAGCAAACAGGAUUAGAUACCCUUGUAGUC
rnacentral:rRNA from 1 species